GAUGAACGCUAGCUACAGGCUUAACACAUGCAAGUCGAGGGGCAGCGCAGUGUAGCAAUACAUGGGCGGCGACCGGCGCACGGGUGCGUAACGCGUAUCCAACCUUCCCGUUACUCAGGGAUAGCCUUCCGAAAGGGAGAUUAAUACCUGAUGGUGUUCAAAUUCCGCAUGUUAUUUGAACUAAAGAUUUAUCGGUAACGGAUGGGGAUGCGUGACAUUAGGUAGAUGGCGGGGUAACGGCCCACCUAGUCUACGAUGUCUAGGGGUUCGUGAGAGGAAGGUCCCCCACCACUGGAACUGAGACACGGUCCAGACUCCUACGGGAGGGCAGCAGUGAGGAAUAUUGGUCAAUGGCCGUAAGGCUGAACCAGCCAAGUAGCGUGAAGGAUGACUGCCCUAUGGGUUGUAAACUUCUUUUGUAAGGGAGCAAUAAGGCGCACGUGUGCGUCGAUGAGAGUACCUUACGAAUAAGCAUCGGCUAACUCCGUG
rnacentral:rRNA from 1 species